rnacentral:lncRNA from 1 species
UGUGCCAGUCGAAUUCUAAAAAAAUUAAUCAUUUUGAAAACUAGAAGUAAAACAAAUUAUUUACUAACGAGUAAUUAGCGUUUGUACUUAUUGUCUUCUUCCAUUAACUAAACAAUAGAAAAAAAACUCCUUUAAUGAUAGCAAAAUAUUGUCUCGUGACAAAAGAUCAAAUUAAAAAAAAAACAACACUUAUAAACUUUCUGCGUUGACUGUACUUAAUCUACCUAAAGCACGUAUGAAUUAGUACUGCCAUCGCCAUUUUAUGUCAGUCUCAAUUUGCUCAAGGAAGAAACGUGCUACGUGAACCAAACGUGCCUAGGAAGAAUCGAGUGAUUAGAAUCGAUUCAUAUCGAUUGUAAGAUUUUUCUGUAAGAUUUAUAAAUAGUUGUGAAUUCUUCAAUAAUUUGGACCCGGGUGGAAAAAUGCUGGCAAGGAAACGGAAUAAGGAGCUGUCGCCGGAAGCGACAGUCUACCAAGAGGCGACGAACCUGAUGCCUCCUCUCGACCCCCCUCAGCCCCCUCCGAUGCCAACUGAAUCUGUUUCCGCCUCCGAGUCAUCAAAUAAUUUCAGAAAAAUCCUAAGUGAAAAAUGUCUAAGUGUUGUGUCUCCUGCGCGUUUGCGCGAAAAGUGCGGUAAACGUAAACCUGGGAAAGUUGCACGUUAAAGGGCGACCAGGAAAAGACUAUCAAAGAAAGACCUCUGAAUUGACUAAGAAGUUAGUUUUUAAGUACUUAAGGUAACUAUGGGCCACACACUGCAGCCUAAACAGUCGACGGUCGAUUCGAUGAAUGGCAAUUGUUCUUUGAGAAAAUCGUGAUUCCAAUCAAAGUUUUCUGUCGGUCUGAUGCUGAAUAUAGGUAUAUUUGAUCGCUGUAAUGUGCACACUGCCAUGCAUUUCCGUAGUUAGGGUGCUUACAUAAAGCGCUCGAUCAAACUAUCGGCGGACUAGUCUGCAGUGUUGUACUGUUGAUGUAGGUAGGUAACUAGGUAGGAACUUCCUUUCUUUGGUGAAUGUAAAAUAAAAAUUUAAAAAAAAAAAAAAAAA